ACUCAAAUGAAUUGACGGGGGCUCACACCAGCGGUGGAGCAUGUGGCUUAAUUCGAGGCUACGCGAAGAACCUUAUCCUAGGUUUGACAUGCACGGAUUAGCUUCCUGAAAGGGAAGUGACACCCGCAAGGGUGGAACGUGCACAGGUGCUGCAUGGCUGUCGUCAGCUCGUGUUGUGAGAUGUCGGGUUAAGUCCCUUAACGAGCGAAACCCUUGUCCUUAGUUACCAGCGGGUCAUGCCGGGAACUCUAAGGAGACUGCCGGUGUCAAGCCGGAGGAAGGCGGGGAUGACGUCAAGUCCUCAUGGCCUUUAUGCCUAGGGCUGCACACGUGCUACAAUGGGGCGGACAAAGGGACGCAAGACGGCGACGUCAAGCCAAUCCCAAAAACCGCCCCCCAGUUCAGAUUGCAGGCUGCAACCCGCCUGCAUGAAGCCGGAAUCGCUAGUAAUCGCAGGUCAGCCAUACUGCGGUGAAUGUGUUCCUGAGCCUUGUACACACCGCCCGU
rnacentral:rRNA from 1 species